GCUUAACACAUGCAAGUCGAGCGGUAAGGCCCUUCGGGGUACACGAGCGGCGAACGGGUGAGUAACACGUGGGUGAUCUGCCCUGUACUUCGGGAUAAGCCUGGGAAACUGGGUCUAAUACCGGAUAUGACCUUCGGUUGCAUGACCGUGGGUGGAAAGAUUUAUCGGUACAGGAUGGGCCCGCGGCCUAUCAGCUUGUUGGUGGGGUAAUGGCCUACCAAGGCGACGACGGGUAGCCGGCCUGAGAGGGCGACCGGCCACACUGGGACUGAGACACGGCCCAGACUCCUACGGGAGGCAGCAGUGGGGAAUAUUGCACAAUGGGCGAAAGCCUGAUGCAGCGACGCCGCGUGAGGGAUGACGGCCUUCGGGUUGUAAACCUCUUUCGACAGGGACGAAGCGCAAGUGACGGUACCUGUAGAAGAAGCACCGGCCAACUACGUGCCAGCAGCCGCGGUAAUACGUAGGGUGCGAGCGUUGUCCGGAAUUACUGGGCGUAAAGAGCUUGUAGGCGGUUCGUCGCGUCGUUCGUGAAAACUUGGGGCUCAACCCCAAGCUUGCGGGCGAUACGGGCGGACUAGAGUACUUCAGGGGAGACUGGAAUUC
rnacentral:rRNA from 1 species